rnacentral:tRNA from 1 species
CGGGGUGUGGCGCAGCUUGGUAGCGCACUUGCAUGGGGCGCAAGAGGUCGCUGGUUCAAAUCCAGUCGCCCCGACCA